UACGUAGGGUGCGAGCGUUAAUCGGAAUUACUGGGCGUAAAGCGUGCGCAGGCGGUUAUGCAAGACAGAUGUGAAAUCCCCGGGCUCAACCUGGGAACUGCAUUUGUGACUGCAUGGCUAGAGUACGGUAGAGGGGGAUGGAAUUCCGCGUGUAGCAGUGAAAUGCGUAGAUAUGCGGAGGAACACCGAUGGCGAAGGCAAUCCCCUGGACCUGUACUGGCGCUCAUGCACGAAAGCGUGGGGAGCAAACAGG
rnacentral:rRNA from 1 species